rnacentral:rRNA from 1 species
UACAGAGGCCACAAGCGUUAGGCGGAAUCACUGGGCUUAAAGCGUGUGUAGGCGGGUUGGUAAGUAUCUUGUGAAAUCCCACGGCUUAACCGUGGAAUUGCUGGGUAUACUGCCGAUCUUGAGUCAUCUAGAGGUAACCGGAACAGAUGGUGGAGCGGUGAAAUGCAUAGAAUAUCAUCUGGAACGCCAAUGGUGCAGACAGGUUACUGGGGAUGUACUGACGCUGGAGGCACGAAAGCCAGGGAGACAACGGGG